rnacentral:rRNA from 1 species
UACGUAGGGUGCAAGCGUUGUCCGGAAUUAUUGGGCGUAAAGAGCUCGUAGGCGGUCUGUCGCGUCGGAUGUGAAAAUCCAGGGCUUAACCCUGGACCUGCAUUCGAUACGGGCAGACUAGAGUUCGGUAGGGGAGACUGGAAUUCCUGGUGUAGCGGUGAAAUGCGCAGAUAUCAGGAGGAACACCAAUGGCGAAGGCAGCUCGCUGGGACGGUACUGACGCUGAGGCGCGAAAGCGUGGGGAGCAAACAGG